rnacentral:tRNA from 1 species
GGGCUGGUGGCGGAAUUGGUAUACGCGCACGUUUGAGGGGCGUGUGGGGUAACCCGUGGAGGUUCAAGUCCUCUCCAGCCCACCA